rnacentral:rRNA from 1 species
AACAAACGCUGGCGGCGUGCCUAACACAUGCAAGUCGUGCGAGAAAGUCCCCUUCGGGGGGCGAGUAAAGCGGCGAAAGGGUGAGUAACACGUGGGUAACCUGCCCCUUGGACCGGGAUAACCCGCCGAAAGGUGGGUUAAUACCGGAUAAGACCACGCGGACACAGGUCCGAGCGGUAAAAGAUGGCCUCUGCUUGCAAGCUAUCACCGAGGGAUGGGCCCGCGGCCUAUUAGCUAGUUGGUAGGGUAACGGCCUACCAAGGCUAUGAUGGGUAGCCGGCCUGAGAGGGUGUACGGCCACACUGGAACUGAGACACGGUCCAGACUCCUACGGGAGGCAGCAGUGGGGAAUGUUGCGCAAUGGGGGAAACCCUGACGCAGCAACGCCGCGUGAGUGAUGAAGGCCCUCGGGUCGUAAAACUCUUUUGGUGGGGAAGAAAUGCGCAGCGGUCAACACCCGCGGCGCUUGACGGUACCCGCAGAAAAAGUCCCGGCUAACUCCGUGCCAGCCGCCGCGGUAAGAC